GACGAACGCUGGCGGCGUGCUUAACACAUGCCAGUCGAACGGAAAGGCCCUGCUUUUGUGGGGUGCUCGAGUGGCGAACGGGUGAGUAACACGUGAGUAACCUGCCCUUGACUUUGGGAUAACUUCAGGAAACUGGGGCUAAUACCGGAUAGGAGCUCCUGCUGCAUGGUGGGGGUUGGAAAGUUUCGGCGGUUGGGGAUGGACUCGCGGCUUAUCAGCUUGUUGGUGGGGUAGUGGCUUACCAAGGCUUUGACGGGUAGCCGGCCUGAGAGGGUGACCGGCCACAUUGGGACUGAGAUACGGCCCAGACUCCUACGGGAGGCAGCAGUGGGGAAUAUUGCACAAUGGGCGGAAGCCUGAUGCAGCAACGCCGCGUGCGGGAUGACGGCCUUCGGGUUGUAAACCGCUUUCGCCUGUGACGAAGCGUGAGUGACGGUAAUGGGUAAUGAAGCACCGGCUAACUACGU
rnacentral:rRNA from 1 species